rnacentral:rRNA from 1 species
UACGGAGGGGGCUAGCGUUGUUCGGAAUUACUGGGCGUAAAGCGCACGUAGGCGGCUCUUUAAGUCGGAGGUGAAAUCCUGGAGCUCAACUCCAGAACUGCCUUCGAUACUGAAGAGCUCGAGUCCGGGAGAGGUGAGUGGAACUGCGAGUGUAGAGGUGAAAUUCGUAGAUAUUCGCAAGAACACCAGUGGCGAAGGCGGCUCACUGGCCCGGUACUGACGCUGAGGUGCGAAAGCGUGGGGAGCAAACAGG